GAACAGUUUAACUGACAAGCAGUGAGUAACAAAGUAUUAGGAGAGGAGGUCAGAAAGUGAGGGGCAGUGGAUGGGACUUACUGAUUAUUGUUCGGACCUUGGGUUUGUUUUGUUUGCUUUUUCCUGGUGAGGAAGAAAACCUUCAGAGCGUAUUGAACACACAAAUGACAUGAUCUCUCUUACAUCUUAAGAUGAUGGUUGCUACUGAGUUGAGGAAAGACAAACCAGACUCGAGGACCAUUGGAAGUUCAUGCAGAAGAGCCUUUUGGAAUUAGAGAAGUCUUACAAAAACAGCAAACUAAAGCCCAGGGAGAGGGUGUGAUUGCUUCUACAUGCUACAGCCAGUGAACCACAGAACUGACAACAGACACUAGUUCUCUUGCCUCCAGGUCAAGCCAGUGGACCUUCACAAAGAGGGCUUCAGGUAUUUACAAAGGCAGCAGAGACUCUCGGAAUCCCCAAAGCCUUCACGCUCCAAAGUAAAGCACGACAGAUUUCAAGGAGGAGGAGAUAUUUUGGGGCAGAAGAGUUUUCCAGGAUCCAUCAAAUCACUCCCUACAGACAUCUGUCUGAUAGAUAAUAUAUUCUUAAAUGAGCUUUCUUUUGCUAUUUUGUAUCUUAAGAGAAAAGGGCAAAGUUGUGACUUUCUGUGAUAUCAGUUCCAGGAUUAAGACCCACUCUCCAAUUGCCUUUGAAAAGAGAAAAAAAGCAAAACGAAACCUUCUUCUGGCUUACUUUCAGAGCUCCAGAUUGACUGUGCCAAGCAGACAGACCACCCACAACCUGCAAUAAAUAACAACCAUCUCUUCUGAGUCGGUUAUCCACUGUAUCACCCAAAGCAAGUGAUUAAAAAUUGCAAUUUCUUUCACAUAACAAGGCUGCUGUCAAACUGUAGCCCCUCACCAUGGUUUUGCAAGACUAUGUUGAAUGGACAAAGUUCCAUGUGCUGAGUUUGGUACUCCACAACUAGCCUGAGAUUAUCAAAUCAAUGCUGGAAUAGAAGUUUGAAAGAAUAAUUUCCCUACACAUUAUUUUCUUUAUCUACUGACAUUGCCUAAGAGAUUUAAUUCACUCUUCUUAGUCCUUUUUUUUUUUUUUUUAACUUACAAGACCUGUCAUUGAAAGGCUCAUCCAAUUUUUUUGCUCCUCCUAAUAUGGAUUUCUGACAAAACAUGUUGCCAUCCUGGUGUCAUUUCUCAAAUAGUCUACCAAUUAAAAAGCAUCAUCUCAGAAAACUAUGUUCAAAACUCACCUCCUGCAAGACUCCUCUCGUACAUUUUCACUUAGACCCUAUGCUACUACCUUUGUCAAUAAGGUUCCUUACUGGCUGUCUUUAGUUGAUCCUGCUUGCAUGGCAUCUUUCACAUGGAUAUCUAAUGAAGAUAUUGAACAUAGUGUUUCAAAAAGCCACCUACCUUCUCCUGAGUAAGCAGAGUCAUAUGAUUCCACCUAUAUAAAGUUCUUGAACAAGUGAAAGGAGCCUCAAAUGGGGAAAAAAGAGUCAAGGUAGUCAUUUGUGUGGAUAGAAUGAAGAUGAACUGGGAAGGAGUGACGAAACAUUCUAAGGUGAAGGUCAUGUUUAAUGUUUUGUAGGAGUUUAGGUUAAACAGAUGUAUGCAACUGUCAAAACUCAGUGUAAGUAUACUUAAGAUCUGUGCAUUUCAUUGUAUUUAAGGUAAAAAAGGAAGAAAAAAGCAAUCAAUUGCCUUCUA